rnacentral:rRNA from 1 species
AAUGAACGCUGGCGGCAUGGAUUAGGCAUGCAAGUCGAACGGUGAAGCCCCGCAAGGGGCUGAUCAGUGGCGAAAGGGUGAGUAACACGUGAGCAACCUGCCCCCGAAUUGGGAAUAGGCCCGGGAAACCGGGAUUAAUGCCUGAUGUGGUUUUCUGCUGCAUGGCAGAAGGACUAAAGAUUUAUCGUUUGGGGAUGGGCUCGCGUCCCAUUAGCUUGUUGGUGAGGUAACGGCCCACCAAGGCGAUGACGGGUAGCUGGUCUGAGAGGAUGGUCAGCCACACUGGGACUGAGACACUGCCCAGACUCCUACGGGAGGCUGCAGUCGAGAAUCUUCCGCAAUGGACGCAAGUCUGACGGAGCGAUGCCGCGUGAGGGAUGAAGGCCUUCGGGUUGUAAACCUCUGUCAGAGGGGACGA